rnacentral:rRNA from 1 species
AGAGAGAGACAUGCGCGCAUAUCAAUAAGCGGAGGAAAAGAAACUAACAAGGAUUCCCUUAGUAACGGCGAGUGUAAGCGGGAAGAGCUCAAAUUUGAAAUCUUCAAGGUUUUACCUUGACGAAUUGUAGUUUAAAGAAGUGUUUUCUGCUGAAGUUUUGGUAAAAGUUCUUUGGAAUAGGACAUCAUAGAGGGUGAGAAUCCCGUAUUUGACCAUUAUUUUCAGCUUUGUGAUACACUUUCAAAGAGUCGGAUUGUUUGGGAAUGCAGUCCAAAAUGGGUGGUAAAUUUCAUCUAAAGCUAAAUAUUGGCGAGAGACCGAUAGCGAACAAGUACCGUGAGGGAAAGAUGAAAAGAACUUUGAAAAGAGAGUUAAACAGUACGUGAAAUUGUCAAAAGGGAAGCGUUUGACACCAGUGUUGUUUUCUCGAAAAUCAAUUAAAAAUGGCUCGAUUUUGUAUUGCUUGAGACCUUAAAAGCUCACUGUACAUUUUUCGUGUCUUUUUUAAUGCACUUUUCGUUUAACAAGUCAACAUCAGUUUCUUUUGUUGUAAAAGGGUCAUUGGAAGGUGGCUUUCUUUUCGGAGAAAGUGUUUAUAGCCUUUGGCCUCUGCAAUCGGAGAGACUGAGGUCUGCAGCGUAGACUCUUCGGGGUUAGAUACAUUUGUGCUAAGUUAUAGCUUUUUAUAGACAACUUGUUGACUAUGAUCAGUCAUGUAGCUUACUCGCUUAUGCUAUUUUACCUACGCUUAGGAUGUUGAGUCGUAGAGCACGCAG